rnacentral:rRNA from 1 species
CGGCGCGCCGGAAGGACGGAGCAAGAGCGCGCGCUUUGAGACCCGAAAGAUGGUGAACUAUGCCUGGGCAGGACGAAGCCAGAGGAAACUCUGGUGGAGGUCCGAAGCGGUUCUGACGUGCAAAUCGAUCGUCAGACCUGGGUAUAGGGGCGAAAGACUAAUCGAACCAUCUAGUAGCUGGUUCCCUCCGAAGUUUCCCUCAGGAUAGCUGGUGCUCGCGGUUUUCGGCCGCAUCCGGUAAAGCGAAUGAUUAGAGGCCUUGGGGUCGAAACGACCUCAACCUAUUCUCAAACUUUAAAUGGGUGCGAUGUCUGUCUUGCUUGAUUGAAGACACGACGCCCAGGGCGUGAGUACCAUGUGGGCCACUUUUGGUAAGCAGAACUGGCGAUGCGGGAUGAACCGAACGCCGGGUUACGGCGCCCGAUGCCUGACGCUAAUGAGAGCCCAUAAAAGGUGUUGGUUGCUAUAGACAGCAGGACGGUGGCCAUGGAAGUCGGAAUCCGCUAAGGAGUGUGUAACAACUCACCUGCCGAAGCAACUAGCCCUGAAAAUGGAUGGCGCUUCAGCGUCGAGCCCAUACCCGGCCCUUGGGGUAGAAUUGGAACGUAUGCC